rnacentral:lncRNA from 1 species
CUACAGCAGUCCUUACGUGUGUCACUGCACAGGGGGGCCACACUGUCUCUGCCAUGGGACCUGGCCCUUUUCAAUGGUGUUCUUGUUUUAGGGCACCUCUGGCCCAGGGUUGCGGCUGUGUGUCUGUCUUUGUUGGCCUGGUUCCUUCCUCUUCCCCAAGCUUGCUCUCCCAUAACUUGAUGAUAAAAUCACUCUUCAGCUUCACAGUUUGUUUGUCUUGAUUUACUGGCAGUUUUUGACUAAAGUGACCCGUCAAGGUAGUGGACAUUCUGUAGCAGCAGGCUGUCAGCCUAUUUUAUAAUUUGGGGCAUGUCACUCCAAGCUUGAGAUUUCUUUCUGGCAAGUUCCAUCCAGGAUGGCUGAUCUGUGCUGGCAUAACUGGCUCUCUUCAGCUGAUGCAAUUCUUUCUCCGUCAUCACUGCAGACUGAGCUGCUGGAAAGAAGACAAAACAAACAGAAACAUGAGAAAUGAGUUUAGAUUCCCACUUAAGCCUCUUGUGUUUCUUUAAAAUAUAUGUCAAGGUCUCAACUGUGGUCUCAAACAUAAAAUCCGUUAAUGCAUAAACAUGUAAAGAAGAUUUAGGCAUAGAAUAAUUUAUGUAAUAAAAAAGCCUUAAGAACAGCAGACCCCAAAUGGUUCCAGGAAUGCAGUGAGGUGAGAGAAACUUUCAGAAUAAAACUGCCAAGAACUCUGGAGAUCGGUUUGCACAACGGUGUGAAUAUUCUUCACACUGCCAAACUGUACACUUAAGAGUGGCUAGGAUGAUAAAUUUAGUUGUAUGUAUUUUACCACAAUGAAAAGUAUAUUUAAAAAUACUGAUACACGUGACAACAGAGACGAAUCUUGAAAACAUUAUGCUUGGUGAAAGAAGCCAGAUACAUUUUAUUUUAUGAUUCCAUUUAUGAGAAAUGUCCCCAAAAGGCAAGUAUAGGGAGACAGAAAGUAGAUUAGUGGUUGCCUAGACCUGGGCUGGGGAACAGUGAAUGACUGUAAAUGGGCAUGAGGUUUCUUUUUAGGGUGAGGAAGUAUUCUAAAAUUGGAUUGUGACGGUUGUACAAGUCAGUAAAUAUAUUCUCAUUGUCAAUAUAUAGUUGCUGAAUUGUACACUUAAAACAGGUGAGUCUUAUGGCACAUAAAUGUCAUGUCAGUAAAAGCUGUUUAAAAACGUCAAUGUGGCAAAGUCAUUCGGAAAAAGAAAACAAGACCAAAAAAAAAAAAAAAAGCAGAACCAAUCCCAGAAACGUAUUCUAAAGUGUUUGGU